UACGUAGGGUGCAAGCGUUGUCCGGAAUUAUUGGGCGUAAAGAGCUCGUAGGCGGUUCGUCGCGUCGGCUGUGAAAUCCCGGAGCUCAACUCCGGGUCUGCAGUCGAUACGGGCGGACUCGAGUUCGGCAGGGGAGACUGGAAUUCCUGGUGUAGCGGUGAAAUGCGCAGAUAUCAGGAGGAACACCGGUGGCGAAGGCGGGUCUCUGGGCCGGUACCGACGCUGAGGAGCGAAAGCGUGGGGAGCGAACAGG
rnacentral:rRNA from 1 species